AUUGAACGCUGGCGGCAUGCCUUACACAUGCAAGUCGAACGGCAGCACGGGUGCUUGCACCUGGUGGCGAGUGGCGAACGGGUGAGUAAUACAUCGGAACAUGUCCUGUAGUGGGGGAUAGCCCGGCGAAAGCUGGAUUAAUACCGCAUACGAUCUACGGAUGAAAGCGGGGGACCUUCGGGCCUCGCGCUAUAGGGUUGGCCGAUGGCUGAUUAGCUAGUUAGUGGGGUAAAGGCCUACCAAGGCGACGAUCAGUAGCUGGUCUGAGAGGACGACCAGCCACACUGGGACUGAGACACGGCCCAGACUCCUACGGGAGGCAGCAGUGGGGAAUUUUGGACAAUGGGCGAAAGCCUGAUCCAGCAAUGCCGCGUGUGUGAAGAAGGCCUUCGGGUUGUAAAGCACUUUUGUCCGGAAAGAAAUCCUUGGCCCUAAUACGGUCGGGGGAUGACGGUACCGGAAGAAUAAGCACCGGCUAACUACGUG
rnacentral:rRNA from 1 species